UUAAAUUGAAGAGUUUGAUCAUGGCUCAGAUUGAACGCUGGCGGCAGGCCUAACACAUGCAAGUCGAACGGUAACAGGAAGCAGCUUGCUGCUUCGCUGACGAGUGGCGGACGGGUGAGUAAUGUCUGGGAAACUGCCUGAUGGAGGGGGAUAACUACUGGAAACGGUAGCUAAUACCGCAUAACGUCGCAAGACCAAAGGGGGGGGACCUUCGGGCCUCUUGCCAUCGGAUGUGCCCAGAUGGGAUUAGCUUGUUGGUGGGGUAACGGCUCACCAAGGCGACGAUCCCUAGCUGGUCUGAGAGGAUGACCAGCCACACUGGA
rnacentral:rRNA from 1 species